rnacentral:rRNA from 1 species
AUUGAACGCUGGCGGCAUGCCUUACACAUGCAAGUCGAACGGUAACAGGUCUUCGGAUGCUGACGAGUGGCGAACGGGUGAGUAAUACAUCGGAACGUGCCUAGUAGUGGGGGAUAACUACUCGAAAGAGUGGCUAAUACCGCAUGAGAUCUACGGAUGAAAGCAGGGGAUCGCAAGACCUUGUGCUACUAGAGCGGCCGAUGGCAGAUUAGGUAGUUGGUGGGAUAAAAGCUUACCAAGCCGACGAUCUGUAGCUGGUCUGAGAGGACGAUCAGCCACACUGGGACUGAGACACGGCCCAGACUCCUACGGGAGGCAGCAGUGGGGAAUUUUGGACAAUGGGCGCAAGCCUGAUCCAGCAAUGCCGCGUGCAGGAUGAAGGCCUUCGGGUUGUAAACUGCUUUUGUACGGAACGAAAAGCCCUGGGUUAAUACCCUGGGGUCAUGACGGUACCGUAAGAAUAAGCACCGGCUAACUACGUGCCAGCAGCCGCGGUAAGAC